rnacentral:lncRNA from 1 species
UUCUGAAUCAGAAUCAGAAUUAUCUGAUCCGAAUGCAGACGGUAUUGUUGACUUUGAAGUAGAAGCCAUCUGCGUCAUGUCUAGUCCAGAAGUCUUCAAAGUCUUGUUCAAUUUUUUCAUAUAGGAUUUCAUAGCAUUGAACUUUUUCUUGUAUUUCGAGACGUCUUUUUGACUCUCGUUACACUUGUUCUGAAAAUGAAAACAACAAUGAGUUCGGUAAUCAACAAAAUUAUUAAAAUAUAUUGUAAAAUACCUCCAAUGCUUUGAAUUUUUCCGACCAUACUGCAUCUGGUGGUGCAUCAACAGUCGUGCAUCAACAGUCGUGCUCUCUGAGAUCGGGUCUUUUCCUUUCCAAUUUGGAGCAGCCCAUCUUUCGUUUGUUG